rnacentral:lncRNA from 1 species
UUCUUCUGGGCGAAUCGCGUUUGUUUUUUCCGCGGUGGACUUUUGUUAUAAGCGAACGCCUCGAUGGAACGCUCACCGAUUACGAAUUUAUCUACGAGAAUGCCACUUGCGUCGGGAAAUGGAACUUCUCCGACACCGUCUGAGGUGGUCGUUACCCAAUCGGUGACAACGGAAGGAUGAUGACGUGGCGUUAUUUAAUUGGGGAAGUUGAAGAAAAAAUAAUGUUUAUUUAUUUAUUUUAAGAAAGUUGCGAUUCCGGCACACAGGUCCCAUGUGAUCUGAAAACAAAACGAGAAAAGGAAGCCCUGAAUAUAUCUCAACUUUUUAACCUCAAAAUGCUAUUUAAAGAUCUUUAGACAUUAUGUGGUUCUGACGAACCAAAAAGUAGACUUCUGUAUGAGACAGAUAUAGAAAGAGGUCAAUGAGUUUGUUGCACCAACCUGGCAAACAAAAAAAAAAGAAUGUUCUUCUUCUGUCUUGUCCUUGUAGAGUAUGUUCACCAUGUGUUGUGGCUUCAAGUAAAAGAACCCAUUUCAGAUAUGUACAAAAAUGAUUCUGCAGUUUUUGCAAUCGGGUUCACUCUCAUUUAUCAUGAAGACUUGAAACAACAUCAACAAGCCGCAAAGAAUUGCAGAACACAUCCAAACCAGAGCAAAUCACCGUGCAGUGAGAUUCCUUUUCUACAUAACCAUUCAUCACCAUUACAUACACUCAGAAGUAAGAACAUAAGGAAACGUUGAAACGCCCGCUCUCUCUCUCUAUCAAAGACCAUGAUAUACCAUCUCCGCUUAGAGUUCAAAAGCACCCGUUUCAGCCAUUCCCAGAAUUCAAAAGAUCAGUGACAACAUCUCCUACGUACUUUCCAAACUUUGUCACUAUGUUCCAAACUUUGACAUUAUGAAUACAAAGAUAAUUUAUUUUAUUACAACAGACGAUCACAACAGCCUCUUUCUUUCCUAAACGUGCUUUACAAGAUACACAGAAAGUUUCCAAAGCCAAAAGCAAUCGUCCUUUUUUUUUAUCACAAACUACAAUGCAUUGUAGAAGGAUAUACAUAAUACUUACAUAUAAAACACUAGCAAGUAGCUGCAAUUGCCUCCAAGAGAGCGACAACGAACUGCAUCUGAGUGUCCUCAUCGAUUUUGGAGAACAAAGGAACGUGGACGAACAAAGACUUGUGUCCCUUUUCUUCUGCAAACCUGAGAGAGUGAUAGUAUACAUAGUUGCACACGAACCGUCCAGCAUCGUCUGAUUGAACCACAUCGAAUCCUUUACUCUUCAGUGACUUGAAAAUAGACUCUGUCGAGCAUGAAGUCUUUACCACACCAAACAACAAGUUAGAAUGUUGCAAGAUAGGAGUGUGUAUGUUAUUAAGAUAUAUAUACCUCUUUGGCCUUUAAAAUGCUUCCAUCUUCAACAACUAUAGGAAGCCGCUGUGUUGAAAAGGGUUAAGUUAGUGUUCUAUAGAAUAUGUUUGUUUGUAAUAGAAAGUGAAUUGUUUUACCUGUGGUUGCCAGCCUAACUGAUCAGGACAACGGAAAUGAGCUUCGUUGACUGCUUGUCUUUCAAUGGCGAAUUUUGUCGAUCCGCUGUUCACUCCAAGAUGAAGCUAAAGAAGCAUAACCAUCAAGAGAUUAGAUCUUUAAACCAUCAAGAGAUUAGAUCUUUAAACCAUCAAGAGAUUAGAAGAACACUCAAAAUCACAAGAAGAAAACAAGCUUUCUUUUUCCAUUUCGAAGUUAUAAACUUUUAAGUGCUUAGCUUAGCCUAACUAAUCACUGAAGAGUAAGUUCACAAACAUGUAUAGACGAAUCAGUUACAAUUAGUAAGAGAGUUUCUCACCCAAACAACAGUUCCAAUGGUGUUCUUAUUAUCUCCAGAGACAACAACACUAGACUCCAAAACCUGAUAAAGCUGAGACUUUGCACCUUCCCCAGCAGUCUCAAGAACAGUGCAGCUACCAAGACUCAACCCGGAAGGCAACCCUCGUUUCUCCACAUAGGACUUCAGAUUAUUGGCUAUUUUCUCAGUAGGGUUCUCGGAAACACCAAGAAACUUCUUGAAACCAGUCACGUGAAUUGUAAUCGCUUUUGGUCCUUCAGAACCCAUCUCCUCCAACCUGUUAAAACAUAAAAAAACAAAAUCAAUCAAAGAUUCGAUAAAGCAGACCAAAUCAAAUAAUCCGAGUUGACCCAGUUCGUGAUUCGAUUUAAAGAUCGAAUCUUUGUACCUGGGCUUCUCGAAUGAAGAUUGAGGUUCAAAGCUUUUGACUUGUGGGUUGUGUGAAGAAGAGGUAUCGAAAUUGAGUUUUGGUUUCUUCUUCUGGGCGAAUCGCGUUUGUUUUUUCCGCGGUGGACUUUUGUUAUAAGCGAACGCCUCGAUGGAACGCUCACCGAUUACGAAUUUAUCUACGAGAAUGCCACUUGCGUCGGGAAAUGGAACUUCUCCGACACCGUCUGAGGUGGUCGUUACCCAAUCGGUGACAACGGAAGGAUGAUGACGUGGCGUUAUUUAAUUGGGGAAGUUGAAGAAAAAAUAA